rnacentral:misc_RNA from 1 species
AACGCACCUUGCGCUCCUUGGUAUUCCGAGGAGCAUGCCUGUUUGAGUGUCAUUAAAUUCUCAACCUUAUUAGCUUUUGUUGAUAAUGGCUUGGAUUUGGGGGUUUGCCGGUUUCUUACUGAGAUCAGCUCCCCUUAAAUGUAUUAGCUGGUUGCCUUGUGCAGACUUGUCUAUUGGUGUGAUAAUUAUCUACGCCGUGGACUUUCUGCCAGUUUUUAGCACCGCUUCUAACUGUCUGUUUAUUCAGACAAUAUAUGACAAUUUGACCUCAAAUCAGGUAGGACUACCCGCUGAACUUAA